GACGAACCGUGCGAACGUUAUUCGGAAUAACUGGGCUUAAAGGGCGCGUAGGCGGGCUGACAAGUCUGGGGUGAAAUCCCGCGGCUUAACCGGGGAACUGCGUCUGAUACUGGAUGGCUUGAAUCCGGGAGAGGGAUGCGGAAUUCCAGGUGUAGCGGUGAAAUGCGUAGAUAUCUGGAGGAACACCGGUGGCGAAGGCGGCAUCCUGGACCGGCAUUGACGCUGAGGAGCGAAAGCCAGGGGAGCAAACGGGG
rnacentral:rRNA from 1 species